ACAUGCAAGUCGAACGAGAAAGCCGAAAGCUUGCUUUUGGCGAGUAGAGUGGCGCACGGGUGAGUAACGCGUGGGUAAUCUACCUUCGAACCGGGGAUAACACUUCGAAAGGGGUGCUAAUACCGGAUGACGUCCACGAGGCUUUGGCUUUGUGGACCAAAGAUGGCCUCUCCAUGGAAGCUGUUGUUCGGAGAUGAGCCCGCGUCCCAUUAGCUUGUUGGUGGGGUAAAGGCCCACCAAGGCGACGAUGGGUAGCUGGUCUGAGAGGAUGAUCAGCCACACUGGCACUGACACACGGGCCAGACUCCUACGGGAGGCAGCAGUGAGGAAUUUUGCGCAAUGGGGGAAACCCUGACGCAGCAACGCNCGCCGUGAGNUGAAGAAGCCUUCGGGUCGUAAAGCUCUGUCGAGUGGGAAGAACCCGCAUCAGGUGACAAGUCUGAUGCGCUGACGGUACCACUGGAGGAAGCACCGGCUAACUCCGUGCCAGCAGCCGCGGUAAUACGGAGGGUGCAAGCGUUUAUUCGGAAUUACUGGGCGUAAAGGGCGCGCAGGCGGCUGGAUAAGUCAGUAGUGAAAGCCCAGGGCUCAACCCUGGAAGUGCUGCUGAAACUGUUUUUAGACUUGGAGGUAUGGGCUAAGAGGGGGAACGUGGAAUUCCUGGUGUAGCGGUGAAAUGCGUAGAUAUCAGGAGGAACACCGGUGGCGAAGGCGGCUUCCUGGACCAAUACUGACGCUGAGGCGCGAAGGCGUGGGUAGCAAACAGGAUUAGAUACCCUGGUAGUCCACGCGGUAAACGGUGAUCACUAGGUGUUGCGGGUAUUGAUACCUGCAGUGCNNCGGAGCUNNAAACGCAAUUAAGUGAUCNNCGCCCUGGGNGAGUACCGGCCCGCAAGGGUUAAAACUCAAAGGAAUUGAGCGGGGGCCCGCACAAGCGGUGGAGCAUGUGGUUUAAUUCGACGCAACGCGAAGAACCUUACCUGGGUUUGACAUCUGGGGAAUGCCUGUGAAAGCAGGCAGUGCCUUUCUGGGAGCCCCAAGACAGGUGCUGCAUGGCUGUCGUCAGCUCGUGUCGUGAGAUGUUGGGUUAAGUCCCGCAACGAGCGCAACCCCUGUCUUCAGUUACCAGCAAUUCGGUUGGGGACUCUGAAGAUACUGCCCCGGUUAACGGGGAGGAAGGUGGGGAUGACGUCAAGUCCUCAUGGCCUUUAUGCCCAGGGCUACACACGUGCUACAAUGGGCGGUACAGAGGGUAGCGAGAUCGCNGAGAUGGAGCCAAUCCCAAAAAGCCGUCCUCAGUUCGGAUUGGAGUCUGCAACUCGACUCCAUGAAGUUGGAAUCGCUAGUAAUCGCGNNGAUCAGCAUGCCGCGGUGAUACGUUCCCGGCUGUACACACCGCCCGUCACACCAUGAGAGUUGGCUAUACCCGAAGUCGCCGGCCCAACCUGUAGAGGGGGGAGGCGCCGAAGGU
rnacentral:rRNA from 1 species